rnacentral:rRNA from 1 species
GACGAACGCUGGCGGCGUGCUUAACACAUGCAAGUCGAACGGAAAGGCCCUGCUUUUGUGGGGUGCUCGAGUGGCGAACGGGUGAGUAACACGUGAGUAACCUGCCCUUGACUUUGGGAUAACUUCAGGAAACUGGGGCUAAUACAGGAUAGGAUCUCCUGCUGCACGGUGGGGGUUGGAAAGUUUCGGCGGUUGGGGAUGGACUCGCGGCUUAUCCGCUUGUUGGUGGGGUAGUGGCUUACCAAGGCUUUGACGGGUAGCCGGCCUGAGAGGGGGACCGGCCACAUUGGGACUGAGAUACGGCCCAGACGCCAACGGGAGGCAGUGGUGGGGAAUAUUGCACAAUGGGCGGAAGCCUGAGGCAGCGGCGCCGCGUGCGGGAUGACGGCCUUCGGGUUGUAAACCGCUUUCGCCUGUGACGAAGCGUGAGUGACGGUAAUGGGUAAAGAAGCACCGGCUAACUACGUG